UACGUAGAAGACUAGCGUUAGUCAUCUUAAUUAGGUUUAAAGGUACCUAGACGGUGAAUUAAACCUGAAAAAAAAAAAGUGGAAGGUAAAUAAUUCACUAGAGUUUUAUAGGAGAAAGUAGAAUUUUUGGAGGAGAGAUAAAAUUUGUUAAUCCCAAAAGGACUGAUAGCGGCGAAGGCAGCUUUCUAUCUAAAAACUGACGUUGAGGGACGAGGGCUUGGGGAGCAAGAAGG
rnacentral:rRNA from 1 species